rnacentral:lncRNA from 1 species
CACGCCAUAAUAUGACCACGGAGACGUGUCUAAAUAAGUGCUUCACAUAACUAACAAAAGAAACUAAUGCAUAAUCCCUAUAUUUUACUAAAGUUUCUCUUCUUCUUCUUCUUCAACAAAACUACAUAAUUCGUCAUGACUUCUCUUUCAAAGUGGCUUCCUUUCUUUGCUGUAAAAGAAGGUCAAUCAAUAGAUUCAACAUGCACACCUCCCUGAGCCAAAUACAAUUAAGCAAUGAAAUUAAUGGGAAAAAAAUCAUAACUUUGCAAUAAAUUAACUGAAAAAAAAUAAAUCAAGAAUUCAUUACGUGAGUUCUAGUUGACUACUUUGUUAAGUUCAAAUCCAUUUGUGAAUCUACCCAAAUUUCUGGAUGAUAAAAUUUAGAAUAAUCCCACAAAUCAUCAUUUUCAGCUUGUUCUUUGACUGAUCUGAAGAUUGAUUUAAAGAAGCGUCAACAACCUUUUUGAGCACAUAGAGAUGCAAGAAAUUUAUAAACAUUAGAGGUAUAAGGUGCAAUGGUUUUGUGAUAAAAUGCAGGAUUACUUAUCCUACGUUUGGAUGAAGGCAUUUCUUAGUCCCGAAAUUAUUUAAGUGAUGGAAUUAGUUAUCACCUAUGGUGGAAUAACUAAUCGUUGGAUUAGUUAUCCCGGAAUAACUUAUUCUAGUUAUUUCAACCAAAUAACCCCUUAAGAGUAAAUGCCUCCCAUGUUCUACACAGACUAUAGACACAAACACAUAACACAGAUUCAAACAAAAGAAUAUCCCAUUAAAAAACAAGCAAAAAAAAUUCUAAAUUUUAAGAAAAUUACUCCAAUAUCACAUUGAGUAUUCAAAUUAUUUCACAAUUUAAACUUCAAAGAUUGAAAAAAAAGGUUGAAUUUUAC